rnacentral:tRNA from 2 species
GGAACUUUAGCGUAGAAGGUUCGCGCGGGUGACUGAAAAUCACUAGGACAUGGUUCGAUUCCAUGAGGUUCCACCA